GAUGAACGCUAGCUACAGGCUUAACACAUGCAAGUCGAGGGGAAACGAUAUUGGAAGCUUGCUUCCGAUAGGCGUCGACCGGCGCACGGGUGAGUAACGCGUAUCCAACCUGCCCGUCACUUGGGAAUAACCUUGCGAAAGUAAGACUAAUACCCAAUGAUAUCCCACGAAGGCAUCCGAAUGGGAUUAAAGAUUUAUCGGUGAUGGAUGGGGAUGCGUCUGAUUAGCUUGUUGGCGGGGUAACGGCCCACCAAGGCAACGAUCAGUAGGGGUUCUGAGAGGAAGGUCCCCCCACAUUGGAACUGAGACACGGUCCAAACUCCUACGGGAGGCAGCAGUGAGGAAUAUUGGUCAAUGGGCGAGAGCCUGAACCAGCCAAGUAGCGUGCAGGAUGACGGCCCUAUGGGUUGUAAACUGCUUUUAUAAGGGAAUAAAGUGGGUCUCGUGAGACUUUUUGCAUGUACCUUAUGAAUAAGGACCGGCUAAUUCCGUG
rnacentral:rRNA from 1 species